rnacentral:rRNA from 1 species
UCGAACGAAGGCCCUAGCUUGCUAGGUGUCCUUAGUGGCGCACGGGUGAGUAACACGUGGGAACAUACCUCACAGUACGGAAUAACUGCGGGAAACUGUAGCUAAUACCGUAUAUUCCAGAAAUGGGAAAGAUUUAUCGCUAUGAGAUUGGCCCGCGCAAGAUUAGCUUGUUGGUAAGGUAAUGGCUUACCAAGGCUCCGAUCUUUAGCUGGUUUGAGAGGAUGAUCAGCCACACUGGGACUGAGACACGGCCCAGACUCCUACGGGAGGCAGCAGUAGGGAAUAUUGGACAAUGGGGGAAACCCUGAUCCAGCAAUGCAGCGUGAGUGACGAAGGCCUUAGGGUUGUAAAACUCUUUCAUCGGUGAGGAUAAUGACAGUAGCCGAAGAAGAAGGACCGGCUAAUUCCGUGCCAGCAGCCGCGGUAAUACGGAAGGUCCUAGCGUUGUUCGGAAUUACUGGGCGUAAAGCGCAUGUAGGCGGAACAAAAAGUUAGAAGUGAAAUCCCUGGGCUCAACCUAGGAAUGGCUUUUAAAACUUUUGUUCUGGAAUUCAGGAGAGGAAAAUGGAAUUUCCAGUGUAGAGGUGAAAUUCGUAGAUAUUGGAAGGAACACCAGUGGCGAAGGCGAUUUUCUGGACUGAUAUUGACGCUGAGAUGCGAAGGCAUGGGUAGCAAACGGGAUUAGAUACCCCGGUAGUCCAUGCAGUAAACGAUGGGUGCUAGUCGUCGGACUUUUGUUCGGUGUCGUAGCUAACGCGUUAAGCACCCCGCCUGGGGAGUACGGUCGCAAGAUUAAAACUCAAAUAAAUUGACGGGGACCCGCACAAGCAGUGGAGCAUGUGGUUUAAUUCGACGCAACGCGAAGAACCUUACCAGCGUUUGACAUGGGAAGUGCCGGUUACAGAAUGGUAACCUUCAGUUCGGCUGGCUUCCACACAGUGCUGCA